rnacentral:rRNA from 1 species
UUUGAUUAUGGCUCAGAUUGAACGCUGGCAGGAUCGCUUUACAUACCGGUCAUCGAACGGCAGCACGGACUUCAGUCUGGUGGCGAGUGGCGAACGGGUGGUGUGUCAGGCGGUGCCUAGUGGCGGGGAGGAUAUUGCUGCAAGCGUAGCUAAUACCGCAUACGCCCUUCGAGAAAGCGGGGGACCUUCGGGCCUCGCACUAUUAGAGCGGCGUCGGAUUAGCUAGUUGGUGGGGUAACGGCUCACCAGCGGCGAUCGUAGCUGGUUGAAGUUGACAACCACACUGGGACUGAGACGGCAGACUCCUACGGGAGGCAGCAGUGGGAAUUUUUGGACAAUGAAACCUGAUCCAGCCACCCAUUCGUAGAAUGAAGGCCUUCGGUUGUAAAGCACUUUUGGCAGGAAAAAAACGGCACGGGAUAAUACCCCGUGCAACUGACAGUACCUGCAGAAUAAGCACCGGCUAACUACGUGCCAGCAGCCGCGGUAAUACGUAGGGUGCAAGCGUUAAUCGGAAUUACUGGGCAUGCUGCAAAAGCGUGCGCAGGCGGUUCGGAAGAAAGAUGUGAAAUCCCAGGCUUAACUUUGGAACUGCAUUUUUAACUACCGAGCUAGGGGUCUUGUCAGAAGGAAGGUGGAAUUCCGGCAUCGCCCAGCAGUGAAAUGCGUAGAUAUGCGGAGGAACACCGAUGGCGAAGGCAGCCUCCUGGGAUAACUUUUACUGACGCUCAUGCACAGCGUGGGAGCAAACGGAUUAGAUACCACAAUAGUCCACGCCUAAACGAUGUCAAUAGCUGUUGGAGCCUUCGGGCAGCGAGCAGCGCAACUAACGCGUGAGAUUGACCGCCUGCAAGUACGGUCAUAGAAUUAAAACUCAAAGGAAUUGACGGGAGCCCGCACAAGCAGUGGAUGAUGUGGAUUAAUUCGUGCAACGCGAAAAACCUUACUACACAAACAUGUCUGGAAUCCCGAAGAAGGCCGGAAUUGCUCACAAGAGAACCGGAACACAGGUGCUGCAUGGCUGUCGUCAGCUCGUGUCGUGGAUGUUGGACAACAGUCAUAACGAAAGGCGCAACCCUUGUCAUUAGUUUGCUACGAAGGGCACUCUAAUGAGACUGGUGACAAACCGGAGGAAGGUGGGGAUGACGUCCGUCCUCAUGGCCCUUAUGGGUAGGGCUUCACACGUCAUACAAUGGUCGGGACAGGGAGUCGCCAACCCGCGAGGAGCCAAUCCCAGAAACCCGAUCGUAGUCCGGAUCGCAGUCUGCAACUCGACUGCGUGAAGUCGGAAUCCUUCAAUCGGAUCAGCAUGUCGCGGUGAAUACGUUCCCGGGUCUUGUAUACACACCGCCGUCACACCAUCAGGGUGGGUUUUGCCGGAAGUAGUUAGCCUGUACUUAAACCAGGAGGGCGAUUACCACGGUAGGAUUCGCGGCUGGGGUAAGUCGUAAAGGUAG